rnacentral:lncRNA from 1 species
AUUUUGCAGAGACUCAAGCUACACCUCUUAGGGGUUUUACAAAGAAAAAGAAGAAACUUUUAUUUCCAGUUUAUUAGGAAAUAUGAAGCCUGCAUUGAAGUGUUUUCUGUGGGCUCAGCACACGGCGUUGCUGCAUCAAUCAGCAUGACACCCUGUGGGUUAAUGCACAGAAACUCCCAGGUUAAGCCCUCCCUGUCUCAGUUCCUGAUGUCAAUAUACAACAGAGCCAUCUCAUUGCAUCUAAACUUGAGUUGCUCCACGGGUGGAUGAACAGCAUAAAGCCCUGUGCUGGGUCUGAACUCAGCCUCACACUUUUGAAAUUCUCUGGGGCUUCCAAAACUCUCUGAUGGAUUUUGAUCUCCAGCUUUCCUGAAUGGUUUCAAUAAUAGCCAUCCAGAGACUGAAGUCCAAUUCUAAGGCAGCCUAUGUUUUGUGAGGGCAUUGAAUGAUUUUGACUUCAGGGAGAAAAAUACAGCCAUAAUAGAAAAUCUGUCUCUAAAUGCUGCAAUGUGACUACAAUCUGUGAGGUCAAGUUAACCCUUCCCAAAAUAAUUAACUUCCACUCUCAUCUGGAGGGAAAAGUAAUUGACUUACAGCACAAGAUAAAGAGGGCUCCAGCAUAUAUGCUAUUUUAUAUUGUGAGCACUUAGCAAACCUAUGGCAACUUUGUGCUUAGCAGCAUAACUAUCUCUGUACAGCCAUGUAAAAUAACACAAUUAUCUUUGGAGGUAAAGGCAAACUGUCAGCUAAACCAGGGGAGCUGUUAUUAAUUUUUGUGAUAAAAGAAGCCCUUCUCUCCACCAACAUAUUUGAUUUUUCAAUUCAAAUUGGAAAUUCCUCUUCAGAAACCACUGCUGUCAGUAAUCCUUUUAAUUUAUGGUAUCCAGAAUACAGUAAUUUCUAUAUUCUGUACCUUAAAUCAACUGAACUUUUACAUAUUGCAUUUCUUUCACGACUUUAACUUUCUGGUCAGGUGCUUCAAAAGAAUUUAAAGAUGAGGAGCACUACCCAAAGAAAAGCAACAAAUAAUGCUUUAAGGUCAAUCUUCAAGCCACAGUGUGGA